rnacentral:rRNA from 1 species
GUGCCAGCCGCCGCGGUAAUACAGAGGCCCCGAGCGUUAAUCGGAAUCACUGGGCUUAAAGGGUGCGUAGGCGGGUCAGUAAGCGCUUUGUGAAAUCCCACAGCUCAACUGUGGAACCGCAGGGCGAACUGCUGAUCUUGAGGAAGCUAGAGGCUGGUAGAACGAUAGGUGGAGCGGUGGAAUGCGUAGAGAUCUAUCGGAAUGCCGAAAGUGAAGACAGCCAGCUGGGGCUUUCCUGACGCUAAAGCACGAAAGCGUGGGGAGCAAACCGGAUUAGAAACCCCCGUAGUCC